rnacentral:rRNA from 1 species
CGGGGGGGCAAGCGUUGUUCGGAAUUACUGGGCGUAAUGGGCUCGUAGGUGGCCAACUAAGUCAGACGUGAAAUCCCCAGGCUCAACUUGGGAACUGCGUCUGAUACUGGAUGGCUUGAAUUCGGGAGAGGGAUGCAGAAUUCCAGGUGUAGCGGUGAAAUGCGUAGAUAUCUGGAGGAAUACCGGUGGCGAAGGCGGCAUCCUGGACCGAGAUUGACACUGAUGAGCGAAAGCCAGGGGAGCAAACGGGAUCAGAUACCCCGGUAGUCCUGGCCCUAAACGAUGAAUGCUUGGUGUGACGGGUAUCGAUCCCUGUCGUGCCGAAGCUAACGCAUUAAGCAUUCCGCCUGGGGAGUACGGUCGCAAGGCUG